rnacentral:lncRNA from 1 species
AUUUUGUUGAACAACAGGUUCUCACUGCAGAGAUCUUGGUUCCGGCGGCUGACCACAACAUUUAAGCAGCGUUUUGGCACCUUAUGCUAACUUAGCUCGAUUACCAUUUUUGUAAUCAUGGCUGGCCUGCGAAAGAAGGUAUCUAAAUUGACAAGCGCUGCCCUGGCGCUCCUUCCUGCUGGGCAAGCUGGGCUGGCCGUGAAGGUGGCACUUAGCUUGGCGCUAGUAGCCUGGUGGACGAGUGGGCCAGGAGCAGAAGAGGAAAG